CGGGGCGUGGCGCAGCGGAUAGCGCGGCGGCCUCCUAAGCCGCCCGUGCGGGUUCGAGUCCCGCCGUCCCGGCCA
rnacentral:tRNA from 1 species